UCUGGGCCACUACUGACGCUGAGAAGCGAAAGCAUGGGGAGCGAACAGGAUUAGAUACCCUGGUAGUCCAUGCCGUAAACGUUGGGAACUAGGUGUGGGCCUCAUUCCACGAGGUCCGUGCCGCAGCUAACGCAUUAAGUUCCCCGCCUGGGGAGUACGGCCGCAAGGCUAAAACUCAAAGGAAUUGACGGGGGCCCGCACAAGCGCGGAGCAUGCGGAUUAAUUCGAUGCAACGCGAAGAACCUUACCAAGGCUUGACAUGUGCCGGAAAAGUGCAGAGAUGUGCUCCCCGCAAGGUCGGUACACAGGUGGUGCAUGGUUGUCGUCAGCUCGUGUCGUGAGAUGUUGGGUUAAGUCCCGCAACGAGCGCAACCCUCGUUCUAUGUUGCCAGCACGUGAUGGUGGGGACUCAUAGGAGACUGCCGGGGUCAACUCGGAGGAAGGUGGGGAUGACGUCAAAUCAUCAUGCCCCUUAUGUCUUGGGCUUCACGCAUGCUACAAUGGCCAGUACAAAGGGCUGCGAUACCGCAAGGUGGAGCGAAUCCCAAAAAACUGGUCUCAGUUCGGAUUGGGGUCUGCAACUCGACCCCAUGAAGUCGGAGUCGCUAGUAAUCGCAGAUCAGCAACGCUGCGGUGAAUACGUUCCCGGGCCUUGUACACACCGCCCGUCAAGUCACGAAAGUCGGUAACACCCGAAGCCGGUGGCCUAACCCUUAGGGGGAGGAGCCGUCGAAGGUGGGACUGGCGAUUGGGACUAAGUCGUAACAAGUAGC
rnacentral:rRNA from 1 species